UUCAAUUCUGAAACUAAAUUUAGUGAAGGAGGCCGAAGUUCAUUACAACGCCAAUAUGGAUCCAUCCUAUUGCGUUGGGUGAAGGUCUAGAUGCAAUAAAAAUUGCACGUAGCAAACAUGUGCUUCCUCUAUAUCUGUACAAUCAGAGUUCUCGCUUUUCUUUGUGUGAUCUUUGUUUAUCCUUUUUGUUGUGUUUAUGUUGCCUACAUUCAGUCGACUUCAAGUUAACCUGUCCAUUUAUUUUUAUUCAGAUAGUUCAGAUGUCUAACGUUUAUAGCAUACACAUCAGUCUAGGGUUAACAAUAGUAGAAUAAAUCUUUCCAUAUAUCAUGAUUCAUAUGUGAGUCUCCCUGUCUGAGUAUAACCAUGAGUUGACAUGCUAUUAUUAACAAGAAGAUAUAAAUCAAUUUUGUUGUUUCAUCGUUGAAAGAUCAUUAGUAAUUUAUCAGAGUCUAUUCUGUCGUUUCAUGAUUUUAACAUAAAGUUAGUAGUUUGCCAGUUCUUAAAUUCUACCGAGGGACACCCAUCUACUUAAUAAGAGUAUCUUGACACUCCACAUUAUCUGAAAGGAAAAGCUUAUCAGCUGUUAAUUUGCUUAAUUUAUCUUAUGCAAGUCAGGGCUUACUUAUUUAUGACAAUUAUAAAAAACAAUUUUCUUACAUGUAGUAACAAUAACCUUACUCUUUUAUCACCAUUCAAUGUGUGGCCUCACACUGCAGAUGCAAGAUUCCGGUGUUCUGAAGUCAUGGGAUGCAACGCUAUGCAAUCUCUUAACAGUAUAUUGCACCCAGUUAGCAAAAUGAUCUACAUUCGGAACAAACUCUUGGAGACAGUAGAUAAAUGCAAAUGUCCCCCAGCACCAGAGGCGAUCCUUUCUAUGGAGAAACACCAUAUACGUACAUAAUUUUGUGCCUGGAUUCUGGAAACGACCAAGGAUAAGCAACUCAAGUGAAAGACUGCCUUGGGAUGAUACAAUCAAUCCAACUGUUACCUUUAGGAUGCUUUUUGGAUGGACUAAUCUGAAGAUGCUGGCUAGCUUACACCGCCAUCAUACAGUCUAGAAGUACAGGGAAAAUAAAGGUGCAAUGAGCCCAAUAUAUUUUACUUUUUGGCAAAGUUUUGGUGCUUGCCCAAGAAAGUAACACCUAUUAAACCUACUAAUCCUUUUUCCCAGGCAAUUCGCCAUCUGGAGAAAUACCAACUAAUACAUUUUUGUACUUUCUUUGUUGCAGAGGUAAAAAUACUACUGCUUUUUGAAAGCUUUUUUGUUGCAUGUUCCCCUUUCUUAAUCUUCUAUUUGUUCAAAUGUACAUACCUGAGCUUAUAAUCAUUAUUACACAAUGAAUCUCACCAUUCUAUUGUUUUCCUGAAAAUUUAUACUCACGUAGUUCUAUUUUCUUAUUAGUGAUCUUCUGUUUGGCCUUCAUUUGGUGUGCAUAUAGCAUGGGAUAUUAUAGGCAUAUUUUUUCUCUCUAUUUGUUCAUGCACUAAUGCAUAAAUCUUUUGGUUAUGCUCUUAUUAUUUAGUC